UAUUGAUCUCACACAGUGAUAGUGAAUGACUUCAAGUACCUCACUCUCACUAAUAGACAGGACAUCCUGACAAAAACCAAGCAGAGAUAUGCUGCAGCUAAGUGGCCUUAUAAACCAGAUAUACCCAACCACCAAAGAGAAUUUGUGAAUUUCUCAGCACCCCAUGGAACUUUCUCUGAAAUUGAGCACAUACUUGGAACAAAGCAAGUCUCAAGAGAUGUAAGAAAAUUGUAAUAACACCCUGCAUCCUAUCUGACCACCAGGGAUUAAAGCUGGAUAUUAGCAACAAUGGAAAGCUUACAAGCUCAUAGAAAGUGAAAAUUCAAUUUAUGGGUCAAGAUGGAAACUAAUAAACAAAUUUAAGACGUUCUGAAAUUGAAAGAAAAUGAGUACACAAUACACCCAAUCUUAUGGAGCACAUGAAGGGGGUUCUAAGAGGCAAGAUCAUAGCACUAAAUGCCUACAAAAAAAUGGAGAUAUCAAAUACUAGUAACUUAACUGUACACCUGAAAACAAAAAAAGAAAUCAUACCCAGAAGAAAUAGACAGCAAGAAAUAAUCAAAUUCAGGGCUGAAAUGAGUAAAACAGAAACAUACAAACAACAACAACAACAACAACAACAACAAUAAAACACAAAUUAUCUAUAAAACAAAGAGCUGAUUCUUUGCGAAAAUCAAUAAGAUUGACAAACUCUUAUCCAAAUUAAUUAAAGGGAGAGAUAAGUUCCAAGUUAAU
rnacentral:lncRNA from 1 species